UAGUGGUCCUUUCCAAUCUUAAUGAUUCUGUGAUUCUGUGAUAAUUGCAGUGGUGCCAUCAAGGCGCUCGUCAGUUGCUGGCAACUGAAAUAAGCCAUGUGCUGUGGUCAUUACUGGCCAAGAUUUUAGAGAUACUGAGCUCCUCCAGGGACUGCAGGCAGCGGACAUAGGGAGAGGACACUUAGUUCUUUGCUCAGCUCUAGAGCAGUGACACAGCUUUACAAAGCCAAGAAUGAAGUAUUCAUUCGAAUGUCAAACAUUCAAGUGUUCCUAUGUUCACAUAUGUACACAUGUAUCUGUGUGCAGAUAUAACGUGUGUUAUAUCAGCGUGUUAGUUAAUUGGUGCAUUCUCUAAAUGGCUGUGGUUUUUUAAUACUGCUAUUCCCUUAUCUCCACAAAUGAAUAACACUGUCAGAUCUGAUCUCUAAUUAUAUUCUGAAGGGCAAUAAACCCCUGAACCUUUCUGGAUGUUCUUAAUUAGAAUGAAAUCCAAACAAAACAGCCAAAAGAAAACAACCGGAGCGGUUGCUGGAAUCUUGCUACACAUUUAUUGGUGGUUGGGAACAGAACCGAGUGAACCAAUCACUGCGAAGAUUUCACAAUCUGGGACCUUUCCAACUUUUCUCUGCAUCCUGAAAAUGAGCUUUUUUUUUUUUUUUUUUCAGGUUUAUAUUCAUUGAAUUUUUUUGAUACGUAGUUUUUAUAAACACAUUCCAACACACUGGUUGUAAAGCAGUUCUUAGCUGCGUGCAGGGCUGCCAGCACUGCUUGUGUAAAUCACAGCCUUUAUGUAAGCUGCACACGUCUAUGCAUUGACAGCUGAAAACACCAUAGAACACGAGGUGGAAAUUCUGGGGUUUUUUAGGGGUCACACUGCCACGUGCCUGCAGUGUCACACAGAUGCGAGGGGGCAGUGUGACUUAGUGUCACUUUAAUGAGAAGGAAUGAGUGUUCUUUAUAUACAUCUAUUUUCUGAAUUGUGAUGUUUUAGUUCACUUCUGAUGUUGAACUGAGUGUUGAAAGAUAUUUUACCUUUACUUAUCUCUUGUUCUGCUGAUUUUCAUAGGGACAAAAUAACUCCUUGCUGAAAUGCAACUGUCUCUGGGGUGGAGUGCUACUCUUUGACUCCUCCAUAGAAGCAAAGCAGAUCUGGGCUAUAGACAAAGAUGCAAAAUGAAGAUUGGAUGGAGUGUGAACUUGGGAGUGAACUCUCUGGAAAGUACAUGAGAGGGAUCAGAGCUCAUUGCACGUGAACUGAACAAUGAAGGAAUAAAAUGACUUACAAGCUACAUCAGUCCUGGAAAACAAAAAGGAUUUUACAGAAGAUUUCCUCUUGUUUGAGUUGCGAUAUCCAACCGUGAUGGAUAAUCACUUCUUAUCCUGGUUGUUUUGUUGCUUCUGAGACAUGGAGUUUUCACUUUAAGCCUGGUUAAAGAGUAAAAGAAGGGGAUGCAGCUGUGUCUAAAUUAACCCUUAGCUCAGCAGUAGGGUUUUCUCAGGCUGCUUGGAGAAGAAAAACAUAGUUAAAACAACAGAAAGUUUUAACUUCUGCCUCGAGGGCUGGAAACCUAUUUUUCAGGCAGCUUAACUUCUGUCAUUCUCAGUGCGUCUCUUCAAAUUAGCUUCAGACAGUGAAAUAAAUAGGAAAUAUUGCCCAAGAGUCCAUAGUUUUGUCAGAAAGGACUUGGAAAAAAGUAGAGGGGAAGAAAAAGAAAGGCUGAAUCAUGAAGGCCUGCCACGUCUUUUUGCUGAUGUGAAAUCAAAACUGACUGAGGUUAUGGUCAUUCAAUUAUUACAAACCAGUGUAUGAGAAAACCAAUCGUUUGAUGAUGCUGGGUUAAAUGUUCUGGACAAGACGUGAUGUGAACUUCCUCACGUUUGAAUUCUAAGUUUCAGCAAAGGAAAAAUAAUGCCAAGUAAACCUGGUAAAAAGAUCUCAUCAUGUUGUAAGAUGUUAAUGUCGAUUCUAAAGAGUUGAGCAGAGUGAGGGAUGGGAGAGGAGGGCACAACUAAGAAAUGGCACUGUUUUUUUUUCCAUAAGCAUCCCUAACUGAUUCCUUUCAGAUACUGAUAGCCCUAUAUCUUCACUGCUUCAGGACGCAGGGCAGCAAGGUGCCUCACAAGAGAUGUCCAUAAAGUGUCCAGUCCGGGAGUCUGAAAAAUUUUUGGUGCAACUUUGAAGCUCUGUUGACCAGGACAUGUAUUAAGGAUUGCAAAGCUGUGGUCCCUCGCGUGUGCACGCUUCGUUUUCUCAGCAGAAAGAAAAAGAGAAAACAGAAGCUGAGGAGAUAUUCAAGAACUGUGGAGAUGUGGCACUGAGGGACAUGAAGAGAAACUGCAGCAAAGGGGAGAAAUUUCUUCCAUCUGUGGCCAAGGUUAAGGCAACCUGUAGGAAAGAAUGAAAACGACGCAGAGUAACGAGCACCUCAUUUCAGCAAGGUCCAAACCGCUGUCUGCAACGUUUUGGACGAUCCAGUGCAUCUCCUGGUUUUAUUUCAUUCUGUUUUUCGUUACAAGAGGUGUUUCUGUCAAAACCAAAACUGGAGGAGCUGAGCCUAUUAGUGCAUGGCAUGUCUUUCUCUGCCGUACCCAAAGCCGCAGCGGUGAUUUCCUUCUCACUGGCUCUGGGGUGAACCGGGUGUACGGGCUGGGGAGGUCCCGCACUGGAAAUGCUGGUAGGAAGCUGGGCUGAGAGGAAACCCAUUCCUUAUGGGGUGUUGCACGAACCUGGAGCUCUAUGGUACCCCACCGCAGAGAUUGAGGGCUGGGAAUAAUCAGCACGUGUCAAAAAGUCCGUAAGAAGCUUCAGCUACUUCUUGAAUUUUGGGGCUAAUGGUCAGUGCCAUGAAUAGAUGGGAAACAAAUAUUGCUGCAAACAUGAACUCAUUCCAGAGAGCAGCUCUUCUUUCCCCAGCACUCUUGUGGAAAUCUAUUGCUCCUCACUGAAAAAUAAAGCUGUGAAUGCAUUACUAAAAAGCAGGACAAUCAAUGUCUUAACCCCUUCAUUUCAACAUUUCAGAGCAGAACUUUUAGGAUGAAGCAUACUAAUUGUUGCACUGAUAUGUGACAAUAGCUAUCAGGGUUAAGUGUUUGAAAGAUCAAUCUACUACAGAGGCAAUUAAUUAUAAGCAAAAAAUGGAGGCAAGAGGGAAGAGAGAAAUGGAACAGCUGGAAUAAGUGGCAGAAAGAGAGGUGGAGGAAGAAAUGAAACGGAAAAACACAAAACAUGUUUGCUGUAGAGAGAACAAGGAGAAAAGUAUGGAUGUGGGUUCUUUGGAAAUGUUCUUGCUGACAAGAACCUGGACUUUCGAUUCACCAUCACUUCUUUCUUCUAAAGUAUCUGCUAUUUACUUGCAGUCUCAGUAUUUCCCAUGAUUUUCCUCCUGAGGAGACUUCGUUCCCUGCCCUUCCCCAGCUGUGUGGGACAAGAGCCACAACAUCUAGAGUUUACAGAAAGGGAAUGAUAACUCCAGAUCCAUAACAGAUAUCAACGAUGAUAUACACAAUUUGAGAAGCACAUUUUCAUGUUUUUAUGUUUCGGGGGUUGUUUUUUUCACCCUGUCAAUCAUCUUCUCUUUGAGCUCCUCGAGGGAGGACAAAUGGGAACUCCAGGUAGGUGGCCGGCAGUGUCUGGAAAUGGCUAGUGCAGGAAUAAUGGGAGCCUUGAGAGCCUCUGUACCUGUACCAUUCAUGGAGUUAAUUGUUAGAUUGUGGAUAUGGUUUGUCCAGAACUGUUCCACAGGAAUCCUCACCAGCCCAGAUCUGCACAAUGACGUUUUCAGGCAGACUGGUUUUGGAGAGGGAAUGUCAGACACCUCCAACUGUUGUUUGAAAAUUAAGCGUGGUGUGAAAGCUAUAGGUAAAAAGGCAGAAUGAACCGCUGGGAUAUAUCCCCCAAAGGAAGAAAAUCCUGUCCAGAUGAAGAGGUCACUUCAUUCAUAAGCCCCAGGCACUGGGUGGAUAAUAACCCCUCUCUUUGAGUAUCAUCAAGAGAAUAAAAGACAAAAGCGCUGUUUGCCAUUUGUUUCCAAAUAAAUGCAGUUUUAUCAUGCAUGACAUCUUCGCCUCCACCCAACUGACAGAUCUCAGAGUGCAGUUUCAGGGCACUGUCCCCUUGUGAGCAUUGGUUCCAGGUGUACGAGGGGUUCUGCUUCAGUUCCUCCAGGUAGAACAUGGGGCUGUUCAGCAGAACAGUUGCUGCUUUGUAAUUAGUGCUACUGUUUCGUGGCCAGCAAAGUCCUCUGUAACAAUUCCUCUCAGGUUUUGUGUACAGAGAUGUCUUUAAGUGAGCAGGUAGAGCCACGGUGAUUCCUGUGGACUGUGAAGGAUGCCUGCAGAGAUGUCUCUGCUGCCUUGGCACGUGGUUAGGAAUGAUGUGAGUGCAUACAGGCUGCAGCUCGAUUAGACAAGAUGGAAAAGAUAUUCAUGAAACAAUCAAAGCAUUUUGCUGAUGCACCGGGAGUGACACACGAUCCCAACUGAGUGAGAAUGCUCAGAUCUGCCCAUUUGUGGGUAGAAGAAAUAUGAAAAUACCCCCAUGCCACUGGGCUGGAAAGGGUUAAAGAGCACCAAUCAAUCUGCAAUCAAGCAGCUGAGGCAUAAUUAGCCAGACUGAUUAGGCCAUAAAGGCUGUGGUAAGGGUGAGUUUGGGUUUGCCUGGAGGGGAGACUGCAGAGCUCCUGAGCUGGGGGCAGCUCAGCUUCUGGGUGAUCUCUCUGCGGAGCUCAGAUGCUAUGAUCACCUAAAGGGCAGACUAAUCCACACUGGAAAUAGGACACAUCCAGCUGUCACUUCUACAUGCAGUGUAAUCCACGGUCUUCUACAGCCCAAGGAAAUUAAUGUGCUGUAGCAAGACUAUGAUGUGCUGCUUUCCCGGCAGUGAGAUGCAAAGGAAGAGUGGGGGAAAUAUUCAUUUCAGUGGGAGGAGGAGGAGGCGCUUCCAUUAACUCCGUCUCAUAUUGCCAACACUGAGGAGAAAUUCCUUAAUUUUAUUUUAUAACUUCACUAAAUCAUGUGGGAGCAUCAGGCUUUGAAUAAAGAAAAGCACGGAGGAAGAGAGUGACUCAGAGGGUGAUCUGUCUUACUGAAAGCAGAGUUAAGCUCUGUGCACUUACUGUUCCUGAGAC